UAGCUUGCGCAGUUGGCAGUAUCUAGCCAUUGAGGUUGUCCGAGGCGUGAUUAUUUUGCUAGUUGAAAACUUUAAACCAAUUUACCCCGCCGUUGGACUUGAAUCUAGUCCGCGCUGGCACAUUUUUGCCCAGUCUCACAGAG
rnacentral:snRNA from 1 species